rnacentral:tRNA from 1 species
AGGGCCUUAGGACUAGUACUAAACCGGGAACCUUCAAAGUUUCAAACAAGAGUAAAACCUCUUAGUACCUG